GGUGAAUGCGUUCCCGGGUCUUGUACACACCGCCCGUCACACCAUGGAAGUUGGGGGUGCCCGAAGUCGGUUAGUUAAUCUAUCGCCUAAGGCAAAACCAAUGACUGGGGUGAAGUCGUAACAAGGUAGCCGUAUCGGAAGGUGCGGCUGGAUCACCUCCUUUCUAAGGA
rnacentral:rRNA from 2 species